UACAAACCAUUCAGUUCAACCAAUCUGAGCAGAAUUAUUACACUAAUGAAGAUAAGUGUGAUCAUGGUUGUUGGGCUGAUUUUUAUCAACCUAUGCACCUGCAUGCCAAGAAAUGUGGCGAACCAUGAAUCUCACGAUACAGUGGUGCCACAGAAGGAAAUGCGCAGUCUGAUGUCUGGCACUGCUGGAAGGAACCGGCCUCCGAGCAAUGAUCACCAGUGCCCACUUGGAACCUACCCUAAUUGCCAAGGGAUGUCCCAGAAUACUCAAGAAGCAACUCAAGAUGUUGGAGGAAACUAA
rnacentral:rRNA from 1 species